UACGUAGGUGGCAAGCGUUGUCCGGAUUUACUGGGCGUAAAGAGCGCGCAGGCGGUCGUUCAAGUCGAGUGUGAAAGCCCCCGGCUCAACUGGGGAGGGUCACUCGAUACUGAUCGACUCGAAGGCAGGAGAGGGAAGUGGAAUUCCCGGUGUAGUGGUGAAAUGCGUAGAUAUCUGGAGGAACACCGGUGGCGAAGGCGGCGUUCUGGACUGUUACUGACACUGAUGAACGAAAGCCAGGGGAGCAAACGGG
rnacentral:rRNA from 1 species